GCGGGGUCGAUUCGUCCCCCGCGGCGUGACCGGCGGGCAUAGAAGAGUGGAAAGCCAGGCUGAAAGGCCCGGAUGGCGAAGC
rnacentral:sRNA from 12 species